UACGUAGGGGGCAAGCGUUGUCCGGAUUUAUUGGGCGUAAAGAGCGUGUAGGCGGCUUUACAGGUCCGUUGUGAAAACUCGAGGCUCAACCUCGAGACGCCGGUGGAAACCGUAAGGCUAGAGUCCGGAAGAGGAGAGUGGAAUUCAUGGUGUAGCAGUGAAAUGCGUAGAGAUCAUGAGGAAGACCAGUGGCGAAGGCGGGUCUCUGGACAGUUCCUGACACUGAGACACGAAGGCCAGGGGAGCAAACGGG
rnacentral:rRNA from 1 species